rnacentral:misc_RNA from 1 species
GUAAUCUCAAGCUCUGCUUGGUGUUGGGUACUUGUCUUAGCUAAGCCUAAAGACUUGCCUUAAAUAUAUUGGCAGCCAGUAUUUUGGUUUGAAUGUGCAGCACAGCGCCUCAAGCUAUCAAACACGGGCAACCAUAAGAAAUUAUCACUC